UUCAGCUCUCCCCAAAUCUGUCUCUAAAAGCCCAGUCAGCUCCCCUGAUAGCCUACCACCCAGCUGGAAACCCGGACGUGAUCCUCAGCUUCUCCCUCUUCCCUCCCCACCCAUACGCCACCACUGCCACCUCCUGCCUUCAACUCCCUGUGCUACUGGCAGCAUCAGCCUGAAACCUCAUACCUCCGGCUGACCCCGGCUCACACCACAUCCUGGUGCCUCUCAAGACUCUGCUGAAACACCACCUCUUCUGUGAAGCCUUUCUUGACCAAGCCCCAUCACCUGCCCACCACACCCACUUCUCAUCCUGCCCAUCUCUGCUCGCUCCUGAGCUCUCCACUACGCGUCUGCUUCCUCCCCUCGACGGCAGGGCCUGCGUCAUCGUCAUCUUUGUCCUCCAGGUUCUAACGGUGCCAGCACCGUGGAUAAAAGCUGAGUAAGCAUUUGUGGGAGGAAUAAGUAAAUAAAUUGAAAUCAAAAUGAUUUAAACAACACAAUCCAAAAAGAUGGUGCCACGCUCAAGGAAGAUGGACUCAUGACACAUUGUAAGAGUCUCAGGACUGUCUGGAGUUGAAACAGCCCCGUAGUGUGUGGUAGAGUCUAGAGUCUGGAGAUGGAUUUUCGAGUCGGCUACGUCAUAGCUUUAAGACCUUGGCUGAGAGGUCUAAUCCCUUUGAGCCUCAGUUUAUUCAUCUAUAAAAAAUGAAGGGGUGGCAGCAAGGGCUGGGGUGAGAAUGCCGUGAGAUGACGCUCGCCAAGGGUCCCUCGGAGGGGGCGCCGUGGGCAGGAGGCGGACGUCAGCGCCCUCUCCGUGCAUCAGAACUGAGCACAGACCCUGAGGUCUGUGGGGAAACAGCGGGGGCAGAGCAUAGCUCCUGCCUCAAUGCUCAAGGGGCGGAUGCUCAACUUGAAGAGGCGCAAUACCCUCGCUGGAAAGGCUGAGAAACCAUACUGCGAGCCGAUACUACCAGGUGUGUCACGAAGCCGACAACAACAGCCCCUAGCCAGGUUGGCGUGGGCUGCGCGAUGCUCGGAGUGGGGAGGGACGUCUCGGGGGGUUGAGGGUGAGGAGAGACACCGGUGGAAGAGGAGGGUCUCAGAGACCCAACCUGCUGGGAUGGAAGCCUCAGGGCGCCCUGGAGUCCAGGUCAGAGGUUCGUCACCUGGGCCUCCCAGGACGCUGGUGUGGACCACUGGUGUGACCGAGGAAGGUGCACUUAGCAUUCCUGGGCCUCCUGGUCGCACUGCUUGUCUUGCCUGAGGGUAUUCCCCAAGUAAGACCAGAAGCCCUUUUGGCCCUGAAUUCCCCAGUUAAUAUUCAUGAAGUUUGUUGAGGGAAAAAAAAAAAAAGGCUGAGGGGGCAGAAGACGGAGGCGGGGGCCACACAAAGAGGUGAAGGAAGCAAGAGUUAACACCAAGCCCCCUCCGGCGGCAGAGAGGGAUUGUCCCUUGUGGGGAAAAUUGCAAAUGACUUUUCCCAUUCACCUCAGCCCAGUGUUUUCAAUUUAUAGAACAUGACUAGGCUUCGGGACUUAAGACCAGAUAUGUCUCUGUUGGGGGAGGACAUCGUAGGAUGUUCAGCAGAGCCCCUGGCCUCCACCCACUAGAUUCCAGUGGAAACCCCUGCCUAGUUGGGACAACAGAAACGUCUCCAGGCCUUGCCACUGUGCCCUGUCUCGCGAAGCCCUGCCUUAGAGGAUUGGGAGGUUGUACCCAAAUGCCCGGAGAUGUGCUUCCCUCUGCAUCUCGCCCUGACCUGAGUGCUACAAGGAUGCUACACGGCCACCUACCCGUCCACCUGCCACUCAGAAACAGAAACAAGGCCAGGGAAUCCCUUUCCAGGUCCUGAUUUGGGGGGCCCCCUCUCCUGUUCUGCUCAGGACCUGCAAAUCAGUGGACUUCAUAACCCCAAGGGGCUCUGCACCCAGAGUGCUGGUCUCUCGAUUUCUUGGGUGACCAGAGAUGCGGGUCAAAACGUUUGCCCAGAGGCAGCUCCCUCCGGGCUGGAGGAGUAAACCAGUGGAGACUCUGCCCUCCCUCAUCUCCUCCAUUUUCUCUCCUCUGAGCUGGCUGCUCUGUGAGAAAAAGACACAGCAGCGAUUCAUGUGAGCCCAAGCCCGGGGCCAUCCUCCAGCACAUGUAGACAGCGAGUCCGGGAGCUAAAUAUGAAAGCCUUCACGCAAAUAAACAAUUACGUUAAUUGUGGGUCGGACAGUUGUUUUUCCUGAGGAACUAAGUACUCAAUUGGGGGUUGGCGUCCUCUAUCUGGAGAAAACAGAGUGCAAGAAGAUGAAGGAAAAGCGGCCAAGUCCCUUUAUUUUUUAAGUAAGGAAACUGAGUCCCAGAGAAGUGAAAUGUCAGCCAGCAUGGAAGCCAGGACCAGACACCUCAUGAUGUGGAGGGUGGCCCCAGGGAAGGGAGGUCCUCAGAGUGUGUGUCACCAGUACGUCUGUACCUCGAGAGAUGACUUAUCUCAUGGAAACCCUGUGCCUGGGGUUGGUCUAUAAAAUAACGCAAGUGACAACUGAACAGAGUCCCCCAGAGGGGCACCUAUGCCUGGCUCUGUGACCCAGUUUUCAGUGAAAAUUAGUAUUAGCUGCUUUUGGCUUUAACCUUGAACUCCAGCUGGCUUUAUCUUCUCUCACUUAUUAUAAUCGUAAGGCCAUGCACGGUGUAAAGGUCACACCUGGGCUUAUACGUCAUAUGUCAUCAAAAUACCGUGAAGAGAACACUAUGUGGUCUCUGUCAGAAGAUCGAAAAAAAAGAAGAGCAAGCGGCAGGUCCGGCUUCUAACUCAGGGCGGCUCGGCCCUCCUCGAAUACCGAGACGGGCCGGGGCCCACCGUGGCCAUCGGAGGUCGUCCAGGCCAAGUACGCACUGUUUAUUGACAGAGAGACAAAGAGGCACCUGCCCGGUUUCAGGGUGACCAGGGAGUUUCCAGUCUGGAUAUGAGAAAACUUUUACACUCUACCAAACAUUCUUUUUUCUUUUUUUCAAAAGCCAAAAUUAGAAAGAAAACAAACAUAUUCAGGGCUCAACGUAGCAGGAAAAAGAAACUCAGAAGUCAAGACAUUUCAUAAGAAAAGCUCCGACUCAGUCUAAACUCACCUGGCCUAGAGUCUAAGGUUCCUGUGAUUGGGGUGGGGACAGGCUGUGGCCCCCCGAGGCCUGGGAAGCUAGUUGUCCCCAGACAAGUGCCCAGUUAGGAGGUCCCCCCUGGUUCCCACGCUGCAGGAGAGGAUGGGAAGGAUGCUGGGGGAGGGAGACAGGCAGAGGGUUCCUGGAGGAGUAUUCUUCUUGUCUAACCUAGCGGUGCCUUGAGGUGCGAUUAAUAAGAGCAACUCAGCAGCGAAGGCACUGAGCCACUGCCCCCCUCUGCCAACGCAGAGAUAACCCAAUACUGUUUACCUGGCCGCCCAGUGACCCGGCCCUAGCAGGCAUCUCGCUAAUUAGCAUAGUCCCUCUAGCCCGGCCUUGGGACUGGCUGUCACACGCUCUCCCACAUUCCAGGCCUCAGUCUGUGCGGGGCCCUCCGAGCUCCCCAGGCAGCCUGCCAGCUGGUCCCCAAAGCUGCGGUGAGAUCUGCCUGCCUCCGGGGGCCCUUCCACCUGCGGGCACGUCGGACAUAAGCCUGUCCCAGCCCCAGGAUCCAAGGCCUACAUCCAUCUUCAAGAAGGCAUCCUCUGAAGCAGUGUGGGAAAAAAGCUUUUUCGCUUGAGAAUCACCUUGUAUUGUACUGACUUGAAAACAGGUCGGUCAGCUUCCAUUCAGCCGGGGUGUAACUGGAACUGAAGGGUAUCCAUUAACACACAAAAUGCCAGAAGUAUUUUAUACCACUCAGGCACUGGUGAGUCAUUAGUGCACGUGAGAUUCAUCAGUUUAUAAAAGAGAUUGGAGAAAUUAAUUAUUUAAAAGUAUGUGACUAUCGAUUUAUACUCACGUUAUCUACUUAAAAGAAAGGAUCUCAGUCGGGCUCUUCUUCUCCCAAGCAGUGAAAAUCAAGUUAUCCUCUCUACCGCCUUCUCCAGCCUCUGCUCUAAAGAGAGCUGGGAUCAGGCUUAUUAAGCAAAGCAGAGGUAGGGCCGAGCAAGUGAUUUUCACCAAAAUUGCAAAAACACAACUGAAAGAGAACUAUUCUUAAGAAAGACUCAUGUACCAUAAAAGGGGAAUUUCCAGAAGCCUCUGAUAUUAGCAAUUUGCUCGUCCAUUCCCUUCCUCUGUAGUUUCAAGAUGAGAUGAUGACAGAAAGACUGACUUGUCAGAAAAAAAAAAAAAAAAA